rnacentral:ribozyme from 14 species
AAAAAGAAAAAAAGAAAAGAAAAAGGGAAGAGCAGUGCCUGUUGGUUCUUUUUUUAUUUGCUUUGAUUACU